rnacentral:rRNA from 1 species
GAUGAACGCUAGCGGCAGGCCUAAUACAUGCAAGUCGAACGGUGUCUUCGGACAUAGUGGCGCACGGGCGCGUAACACGUAUGCAACCUACCUUACAUUGGGGGAUAGCCUUUCGAAAGGGAGAUUAAUACCGCAUAAGACAGUAGCUGGGCAUCCAGCAGCUGUUAAAGAUUUAUCGAUGUAAGCUGGGCAUGCGUCCAAUUAGCUAGUUGGUGAGAUAACGGCUCACCAAGGCAAUGAUUGGUAGGGGAACUGAGAGGUCAAUCCCCCACACUGGCACUGAGAUACGGGACAGACUCCUACGGGAGGCAGCAGUAGGGAAUAUUGGGCAAUGGACGCAAGUCUGACCCAGCCAUGCCGCGUGCAGGAUGAAGGCGUUAUGCGUUGUAAACUGCUUUUAUACAGGAAGAAACGACUCUUGCGAGAGGCAUUGACGGUACUGUAUGAAUAAGCACCGGCUAACUCCGUGCCAGCAGCCGCCGUAAGAC